UAGCAAUACCUGAGUAAAGCGGUCGAACGGGUGAGUAACACGUGGUUAACCUGCCGGAAUGUGGGGGAUACCCCGGGGAAACUCGGGACAUACCGCAUAUGGUCUCCUGGGCUCGGGCCCGGGAGAGCAAAGCCGGGGAUCGUAAGACUGGCGCAUUUUGAGGGGACCGCGGCGAUUAGCUAGUUGGCGGGGUAAUGGCCCACCAAGGCAACGAUCAGUAUCCGGCCUGAGAGGGCGGACGGACACACUGGGACUGAGACACGGCCCAGACUCCUACGGGAGGCAGCAGUGGGGAAUUGUUCGCAAUGGGCGCAAGCCUGACGACGCAACGCCGCGUGGAGGAUGAAGACCUUCGGGUCGUAAACUCCUUUCGAUCGAGACGAAUGGCCUCCGGGUGAACAAUCCGGAGGAGUGACGGUACCGAGAGAAGAAGCCCCGGCUAACUCCGUGCCAGCAGCCGCGGUAAUACGGGGGGGGCAAGCGUUGUUCGGAAUUACUGGGCGUAAAUGGGCUCGUAGGUGGCCAACUAAGUCAGACGUGAAAUCCCUCGGCUUAACCGGGGAACUGCGUCUGAUACUGGAUGGCUUGAGUUCUGGGAGAGGGACGCGGAAUUCCAGGUGUAGCGGUGAAAUGCGUAGAUUCU
rnacentral:rRNA from 1 species